rnacentral:rRNA from 1 species
UACGAAGGGUGCAAGCGUUACUCGGAAUUACUGGGCGUAAAGCGUGCGUAGGUGGUGGUUUAAGUCUGCUGUGAAAGCCCUGGGCUCAACCUGGGAAUUGCAGUGGAUACUGGGUCACUAGAGUGUGGUAGAGGGUAGUGGAAUUCCCGGUGUAGCAGUGAAAUGCGUAGAGAUCGGGAGGAACACCAGUGGCGAAGGCGACUACCUGGACCAACACUGACACUGAGGCACGAAAGCGUGGGGAGCAAACAGGAUUAGAUACCCCGGUAGUCC